GAUGAACGCUAGCGGCAGGCCUAAUACAUGCAAGUCGAACGGUAACAUGAGUAGCAAUACUUGAUGACGUGUGGCGCACGGGUGCGUAACGCGUAUGAAAUCUACCUUUAACUGGUGAAUAGCCCGAAGAAAUUCGGAUUAAUAAACCAUAGUAUCGUUGAAUGGCAGCAUUUAAAUAUUAACACUCCGGUGGUUAAAGAUGAGCAUGCGUGACAUUAGGUAGUUGGUGAGGUAAUGGCUCACCAAGGCUACGAUGUCUAGGGGAUCUGAGAGGAUUAACCCCCACACUGGUACUGAGACACGGACCAGACUCCUACGGGAGGCAGCAGUAAGGAAUAUUGGACAAUGGUCGAAAGACUGAUCCAGCCAUGCCGCGUGAAGGAUGACGGCCUUAUGAGUUGUAAACUUCUUUUGUAUGGGAAAAAACCCUUCUACGUGUAGAAGGCUGAUGGUACCAUAAGAAUAAGGAUCGGCUAACUCUGUGCCAGCCGCCGCAGUAA
rnacentral:rRNA from 1 species